GACGAACGCUGGCGGCGUGCUUAACACAUGCAAGUCGAACGGAAAGGCCCUGCUUUUGUGGGGUGCUCGAGUGGCGAACGGGUGAGUAACACGUGAGUAACCUGCCCUUGACUUUGGGAUAACUUCAGGAAACUGGGGCUAAUACCGGAUAGGAGCUCCUGCUGCAUGGUGGGGGUUGGAAAGUUUCGGCGGUUGGGGAUGGACUCGCGGCUUAUCAGCUUGUUGGUGGGGUAGUGGCUUACCGAGGCUUUGACGGGUAGCCGGCCUGAGAGGGUGACCGGCCACAUUGGGACUGAGAUACGGCCCAGACUCCUACGGGAGGCAGCAGUGGGGAAUAUUGCACAAUGGGCGGAAGCCUGAUGCAGCAACGCCGCGUGCGGGAUGACGGCCUUCGGGUUGUAAACCGCUUUCGCCUGUGACGAAGCGUGAGUGACGGUAAUGGGUAAAGAAGCACCGGCUAACUACGUGCCAGCAGCCGCGGUGAUGCGUAGGGUGCGAGCGUUGUCCGGAUUUAUUGGGCGUAAAGGGCUCGUAGGUGGUUGAUCGCGUCGGAAGUGUAAUCUUGGGGCUUAACCCUGAGCGUGCUUUCGAUACGGGUUGACUUGAGGAAGGUAGGGGAGAAUGGAAUUCCUGGUGGAGCGGUGGAAUGCGCAGAUAUCAGGAGGAACACCAGUGGCGAAGGCGGUUCUCUGGGCCUUUCCUGACGCUGAGGAGCGAAAGCGUGGGGAGCGAACAGGCUUAGAUACCCUGGUAGUCCACGCUGUAAACGGUGGGUACUAGGUGUGGGGUCCAUUCCACGGGUUCCGUGCCGUAGCUAACGCUUUAAGUACCCCGCCUGGGGAGUACGGCCGCAAGGCUAAAACUCAAAGGAAUUGACGGGGCCCCGCACAAGCGGCGGAGCAUGCGGAUUAAUUCGAUGCAACGCGUAGAACCUUACCUGGGUUUGACAUGGAUCGGGAGUGCUCAGAGAUGGGUGUGCCUCUUUUGGGGUCGGUUCACAGGUGGUGCAUGCCUGUCGUCAGCUCGUGUCGUGAGAUGUUGGGUUAAGUCCCGCAACGAGCGCAACCCUUGUUCACUGUUGCCAGCACGUUAUGGUGGGGACUCAGUGGAGACCGCCGGGGUCAACUCGGAGGAAGGUGGGGAUGACGUCAAGUCAUCAUGCCCCUUAUGUCCAGGGCUUCACGCAUGCUACAAUGGCUGGUACAGAGAGUGGCGAGCCUGUGAGGGUGAGCGAAUCUCGGAAAGCCGGUCUCAGUUCGGAUUGGGGUCUGCAACUCGACCUCAUGAAGUCGGAGUCGCUAGUAAUCGCAGAUCAGCAACGCUGCGGUGAAUACGUUCCCGGGGCU
rnacentral:rRNA from 1 species